CGUGUAGGCGGCCAAUCAAGUCGGGUGUGAAAGCCCUCGGCUCAACCGAGGAAUUGCACCCGAUACUGAUCGGCUAGAGUCCGGGAGGGGGUAGCGGAAUUCCCAGUGUAGCGGUGAAAUGCGUAGAUAUUGGGAAGAACACCAGUGGCGAAGGCGGCUACCUGGACCGGAACUGACGCUGAGGCGCGAAAGCUAGGGGAGCGAAUG
rnacentral:rRNA from 1 species